UGCUUGCACACGCUGCUCGGGUCCCCUCACUGCCCCUGCCGCGUGCAGGGCUUGGGCACCGGCUCGGCACCCCAACUUACCCCGCUCUGUCUGGAGCUCCGACCUCGACUGUCCCCCUUCCGCUGCAGGCCGCCGCCUUCGGUCGUCUCCGGGACUCCAGCCGCUUGCACGCACUCACCGAUUUUAAAAACAAACAGGCGCCGUCGCCUCCCUGCGGCGUUCGCGGGGCUUCCGCCAGCCUGCGCCUCCCUAAGCUGGGAAGUUUGCUGGCAGGGCCCUGGCGGGACGUGCAGGCUGUCACCCCCGCUCGCUGACGGCGCAGAAACCUCGGUGCACCCCGCGCCCGUGCUGUCCGACUCUCGAGCGCUCUCCCUCCCUUCGAGUCACCCCCAGUCCUGCGAUGCAGUGUCAGGAUUGCACGGCUCUGACUCAUCGGUUGAGCUCACAGCUUGGAAAAAAAAAAGAGGGCGAGAGGCAACAACGAAGGAGGACGACUCUGGCGUGCUACAAAGGAUUGCACAACUCAAGGCUGGGUGCACAGAGUGCCCAGCAGCCAGCAGGCGCGCGCAGCACCGCGAGGAGCAGGAACCAGCUCUACCACUUCAUCAGCACCACUGUCUCGGGGCGGCCUCUCAGCCAGCAGGCCCAGCGCCGCCCACUUCCUGCGACCAAAUAAGGCCGAGGAAGGCGUCUUUAAACCUCCGGGGGCGGCCGGGGCUGGGGAUUUCCAGCGGACCUCACCUCUACUCCGGAGUAGGGUGCCACCCUCCCCCAGCCCAGGCGGGCGCCCCCUUGGCUUUGCUGGAACCAACAAGCCAUGUGGCUCGUUCCUUGCACACCAAGGAUCCACGAUUCUGUGGUUGUAAAAAGUGAAUGGAGUCAGAAAACCACCUUCUACACAGAAAAGCCCAGGCUCCUCAAUUUAGAAUUCACUGUGGCAGUACUGUUCCUGACAGGUCUCAAAGCACUUUGCCCUACAGCCUGCUGAGCCUACUGAGCCACACUCUGUGACAGUUUUAUCCCUCUCUGGAUGAAAACACUGGGGUUCAGAGAGGUAGCAAUCCAAUCAUCUGUCAUCUCUCUGCUUUUCUUCCAAUCUCCCACAGAGUAAGGCAGCAAGCAAUUGAGGGACUGGAGUGCUCAGGCCCACAGACCCCCAAGUAGAGGCUGGACCAUCAGAACUCCUGGCAGAGGCUCAGUGUAAAGCCGUUUAGCUUUUCCAUUUGCUGAGUUUCUUCCCUCCCACUGAUAACUCAUCCAAGUGAAGGAAACAAAAGCAGAGUGACGUCAUCUCCAGGGCCCCAGCUGCCAGAUUCUUCUGCAGAUCUGCAGCCAUCCUGACCUGUCCUAAAGGACCGGCCCCUGCAGCUGGCCUGGGGCCAGCCCAGAGGGAGCCUCUGUGAGCCAGUGCAGACCAGCCCAGGGACAUUCCCAACCAACCAGAAAACCCGGCUGGGGAGCACAUUCCUAGAAGAGCCUGCCACAUUGCAAGCCAGGGCCCAGCCUCCAGGGAAUGGGCGAGUGGGAGCCACUCCAAAGGGCACUCCUCAGUUUUGUCCCGUUGGGACUUCCUUCUUGUCCCAGAAGGAGCUGCCUAUCGGAGGAGCAGCCCAGGGAGUGAAGGCAGGUAGCAGGGUGCACAAGAACUGAGAAGUCAGUGGCUCUGGAGGAGCCCUGCUCACUGUGAAGCAGCACACCCCUUCCCUUUACCCUAACUAAACUUCUAAAUGUGAAUCAACUCAGAGAGAAGAGGAAAAGGGCACAUGGGUGUGCAGGGGACAAGGGCUCAAGACCGUUCCCAAAGCCACCAUUUGGCAGAGAAAUGUACCUACCUGCCAACUGCCAGCAGAAGAGGAUGUGUAAAGAAAGAUUUGGCCUUUCCGGGAAAGCCCUGGAGGAAAGCAUGGAGUACAGAGCGCCAGUUCCCAGAAGCUGUCUGCUAAGAAAGAAAGACUCCAGGAGGAAAAGCUCUCUGGCAGGACCCCAUCCUCUGGGUCCCAGUGAGGGUACAGUAUGGCAUUUCAAAGGCUUCCUGACAAACAACUCAGCUCUCUGAAUUCUACUCAGAGUGGCCCGUCACCAGUGUUCAAAAUCUUCUAAGUAUGUGAGUUAUAUCUCAAAGCUGGUAUGAAGAAGAAAAAUAAAAGCGUCUAAAGAAGCCAGGGUCUCGCCACCCAGCCACCUGCCCUGAGUCCGCAUUGUUGUCCUUUUUCCACUGCCCCAUCGAGCCCAGCACACAUGGUGUGUUUAUGUGAACAAUUAGCCUUGACCAGAAUAUGAGGAACUGGGGUACAACUAUUGUUGAGGACAUCACAAAAUGACAGCCU
ensembl:lncRNA